CGUUCACGUGAACGUUUUGGGUCUUCAGACGGCGGAGCCCAGAUUCUUCGAGUGCUCCCGCCGCUGCUCGGCGGAGCCGCGUGGUAUCCUCGACCGGCCGUGCCCAUCCCACGCGCAGUCAGGGUGGCGGUCGGUCCCCUUAGGGCCACCCCGCCAUCUCCCUUGGUUGUCGCUUAAUCUCGAGUUGAUAGGGAAUAUUUUUAUGCCCUAGGAUCCCACCGAAACCUCGAUGUCUCCCUACACCGACCAAAAUGCAGUUUGGUAGGACGUCGGUAGGAAGCUGGCGGUUUUCGUUCUUGAACGCCUGGAAGGUUUUCAUUUUCAAUCCUCUCAACGGAGGAAUCUUGAACGCGCUUUCUCUUCGCAGACCCUUCUUAGUUUCCAGAGUUAGGUAUUUCUUGAUAAUUGAAUAGACAGCUUUUAGGAAAAACCAAGCGUCCGACGGAAUAAAUAUUUAGCGUUCGGCAUCCUUGCUUAUCCUUGCGGGCGUCUGGAGAACGGCUCGUGGGGUAAACUUUACAGAUGAAGCUAUUCAUAAAAUGUAAAACUGCCCAGCACAUUUUGAAUUUAAAUCUUGUAUCAGGUCUUAUGCUGUAUGAAUAGUUGCAUUUAAAGGGCGGAGUUCUCGUGUUCAAAUGUGCAUUACGGUAACCGUAGUUCCGAACUUCAUGACAUCAUAGCUCAUCUGUCUCAAGGAAGAAAAUGGUUAAAGCUACUGCCCUUAUCUGACGGUAGUAUUCCAGUCAUCUCACAUCUAAUGAGUUGUUGAACUGGGUGUGGUGGAACUAUGUAUUCCUUGGAAGUUUGAGACGUGGGUAUCCUUGGCUCUAGGUGAAAUUCUUAGCUUUUUCUCUUCAGUUCCAGGCUUUUGGGUCUCUAGCUGUUAAUCUCACGUUGUGGUCAGAAGAGGCUAGAAGAACAUCUAGGCUAGGAAAAUAAAUCCUCAAAACGAAGAUAAAGUAAUUCUUAAAGCUGGAAGAAGUCAGGGGAAAAAGCAGAGCGCAGAGCUUGUUUGAAACUGAAGCCAUAUAAGUCUCCGUAAAUGUGUUCUUGGUAGCGAGGCGGAGAAGAAUGGGGUGGGGUAUUGCAUGGUGGGAAAUGUGAGUGUAGUCCUGGAGGUUCCUGUGUGCAUGCAAACCAUUUUCUGUAAGCGCUUACUGAAACUCUUUUCUGUUGUCUGGGUAAUAAGUUACACAAAGUGAGGGACCCAGGACUGAAGUGCAGAAGCUCAUAUAUCAGUAUGGUCUAAUGUUAUGGUCUUGCUUUUCACGGAAUGUAAACUCAUGGCAAAACACUUUGGGAUUUUUAUAGAAGAGGGUUUUAGCAUUUAAACUCCUUACCAUUUUGUUUGACUUUUGCUCUCUCUUUUUCAUAUGUGAUCAGUCAUUUGUAAUUGAGGGCUGUAUACAUGCAAUGAUGGAAGCUUGAAAAUAAAGCUUGGGUUUAAGGUGUAAA